UUCAAAUUGGUGCAGUGGGAGCAUGCGAGUAUGUUAAUGUCUGCUUCGGCAGAUCAACCGCUCGAGACCGGGGUUCGAUCCCCCGAUUUGAAA